GACCCAUCCCGAACCCGGAAGCUAAGCCCUCCAGCGCCGAUGGUACUGCACCCGCCAGGGUGUGGGAGAGUAGGACACCGCCGAAC
rnacentral:rRNA from 1 species